rnacentral:rRNA from 1 species
ACGGGAGGCAGCAGUGGGGAAUAUUGGGCAAUGGGCGAAAGCCUGACCCAGCAACGCCGCGUGAAGGAAGAAGGUCUUCGGAUUGUAAACUUCUUUUAUGAGGGACGAAGGACGUGACGGUACCUCAUGAAUAAGCCACGGCUAACUACGUGCCAGCAGCCGCGGUAAUACGUAGGUGGCAAGCGUUAUCCGGAUUUACUGGGUGUAAAGGGCGCGUAGGCGGGGAUGCAAGUCAGAUGUGAAAUCUAUGGGCUUAACUCAUAAACUGCAUUUGAAACUGUAUCUCUUGAGUGCUGGAGAGGUAGACGGAAUUCCUAGUGUAGCGGUGAAAUGCGUAGAUAUUAGGAAGAACACCAGUGGCGAAGGCGGUUAGCUGGACAAUAACUGACGCUGAGGCGCGAAAGCGUGGGUAGCAAACAGGAUUAGAUACCCUGGUA